CAGCAGCCACGGGAACACAGAGGGUGCAAGCGUUAAUCGGAAUUGCUGGGCGUAAAGCGCGCGUAGGUGGUUCGCCAAGUUGGAUGUGAAAUCCCCGGGCUCAACCUGGGAACUGCAUCCAAAACUGGCGAGCUAGAGUAUGGUAGAGGGUGGUGGAAUUUCCUGUGUAGCGGUGAAAUGCGUAGAUAUAGGAAGGAACAUCAGUGGCGAAGGCGACCACCUGGACUGAUACUGACACUGAGGUGCGAAAGCGUGGGGAGCAAACAGGAUUAGAUACCCCAGUAGUCCCUGUCUCUUAUAC
rnacentral:rRNA from 1 species